rnacentral:rRNA from 1 species
AGCUCCAAUAGCGUAUAUUAAAGUUGUUGCGGUUAAAAAGCUCGUAUUUGGAUUUCUGUCGAGGACGACCGGUCCGCCUUCUGGGUGUGUAUUGGCUCGGCCUUGGCAUCUUCGUGGAGAACGUCACUGCACUUAACUGUGUGGUGCGGUAUCCAUGACUUUUACUUUGAGGAAAUUAGAGUGUUUCAAGCAGGCAUACGCCUUGAAUACAUUAGCAUGGAAUAAUAAGAUAGGACCUUGGUUCUAUUUUGUUGGUUUCUAGAGCUGAGGUAAUGAUUAAUAGGGAUAGUUGGGGGCAUUCGUAUUUAACUGUCAGAGGUGAAAUUCUUGGAUUUGUUAAAGACGGACCACUGCGAAAGCAUUUGCCAAGGAUGUUUUCA